rnacentral:rRNA from 1 species
AGCGAACGCUGGCGGCAGGCCUAACACAUGCAAGUCGAACGAAAUCUUCGGAGUUAGUGGCGGACGGGUGAGUAACGCGUGGGAACGUGCCUUUAGGUUCGGAAUAACUCAGGGAAACUGGUGCUAAUACCGGAUGAGCUCUUCGGAGGGAAGAUUUAUCGCCAUUGGAUCGGCCCGCGUUUGAUUAGCUAGUUGGUGAGGUAACGGCCCACCAAGGCGACGAUCCGUAGCUGGUCUGAGAGGAUGACCAGCCACACUGGGACUGGGACAAGGCCCAGACUCGGGGGGGGGGGGGCAAGGGGGAUUCUGGCGUAAGGGGGGAGAGACGAACGCCGCCGGGCCGGGGAAAUGAUUAGGGGGGAAGGAAGAGAAAAAUCUUUACACGGGGAUGAUAAGACGGGACCCCAGGAAAAAGGCCCCGGUAACCUCGUG